GAGAAUGCCACUGGGUUAAGAAGUCAGAUCGGGUAAAAAAAAACGCGGAUCUUUUACGGGUCGUGUAAACCUAAUGAAAAUUUUAUCGUCUUCUGCCGUCACCGUUGUCGAAACCAUUUGCAGAGAUUUUAUUCUUCUUUGUGCUUCCUUUCUCGAGAUUUACUUCUCUCAUCAUGAGAGCGUAUCAUUGUCGCAAAAAGAUAUUAUAGGAGAAGGUCAUCAAAUGUAUUUAGAGAAAAGACUAAGGAGAGAACUGGAUAUAUCUUCAAAGAGAAAAUUGGUUUAGUCGAUGAAUUAGGGGAGAAAGGUGAAGACAUGAUAUGCGAUUCGAAAUCAGAAGAGCAAAUUAGGGAUUUGGACACGAACGAAGCUGGAAAGAAGCGACCAGUUCUUGAGACAAGUGAUGGCGAGGGGAAAAAGAAAAAAGAGAGAUAAGAACAGGAACAAGAAGAGUUAUGAUUUCGAUGAGCUGCCAAUUUCUUCUGUUUGCACAAGGAACUUCUUUUACCUGGAUUGCAGAUUCGAAAACGAGAGACAACGCUGACUUGCAAUAGUGAGUUCUUCUUUCUACUAUUUGACCUCUCAAAUUAUAGUUUGCUGUAGAAAAAAUAAUAUCCAUAUGAUAUAUAUAUAUAUAUUAGCAAGGGCUCUCAUCUAUAUAAUAUUCUUGGAUUCUAAAGCGAGUAAUUGGAAUGUCGAGAAACCCUUCUCACCUAAUUAAGAUUGCCUUUGAUGUAUUAAUUCUGAUAUUAGCUUUUUUGGUUUCCGUGUGUUAAAACUAAUGACUGCAAGUGUUAUAGUUGCUCAAGUGUUAGAGUGGAGGACUCAAAAUGAGAUUUGCAAGAUAGUAACAGACUAAUCGUGAGUUUUCAGCUUUUGAAUGUUCAUUUUUUUUUUUUUUUGGGUAAUACGCUUCUAAUGAGAUGGUGCAGUGGCUAAAGAUGUGCUUAAGAAUGUUUCAAAUGUCUGCUUCUAAUUUCUAACCCUCACACAGAAAGGUUUGUUAUUGACUUGGAUAUUUCUUUUUAACUAUUUUGUUGUGGAGAGGUCGGCAGUUGGAAUGAUUCUAAUUUUUAUUGUUUUUUCUGUGUAGAAAUAUUCUGUUUAACCUCUUGGUUUCUUAUAAGGUCAUGCUCGAUGCUUCAAAACAAACAGGAUGCUUGCAGAUAUUUCAUUCUCUUCAAAGAGGUUAACCAUGGUUUGUUGCAGGUUCUCACAACUUUUUCCACCAUAUAACACAUUGUAGCCCCGAAAAUUCAUGCUUUCAGUUAUAUAUUUUCAUUAUCCUCUGACAAACUCAAGACGAAGCUAACAAAAUUGUGCUGCAUACCGUAAAAUAAUUUUUUUCGGUCUACCUUUUUUAAAAAUUUUCUCUGCAUAUCGGUCAGGUUGGAGCAUUAAUUUUUAUGCAUUUCUAAUUUACUAUUAUCAUAUUGGUGAGAGAAGCCAACCUUGAUGAGCUUGAUCAUACGUAGAUAAGAUAUGCUCUCAUGAUGGUUUGAUAAUGGUGCUUGUGUGAUUGUUUCAUUAUCGUUGUGUCAUUUCUCUCAGAUUCAUCUCUACUUAUGUGU